rnacentral:rRNA from 1 species
UCUGGUGGCGAUAGCGAAGAGGUCACACCCGUUCCAUACCGAACACGGAAGUUAAGCUCUUUAGCGCCAAUGGUAGUUGGGACUUUGUCCCUGUGAGAGUAGGACGUUGCCAGGC